rnacentral:misc_RNA from 1 species
CCGAGUUUACAACUCCCAAACCCCUGUGAACAUACCUUUAUGUUGCCCCGGCGGAUCAGCCCGCGCCCCGUAGAACGGGACGGCCCGCCGCAGGAAACCCUAAACUCUGUUUUUAGUGGAACUUCUGAGUAUAAAAAACGAAUAAAUCA